rnacentral:lncRNA from 1 species
AUUUAAUAAAUUGAUGAUCAAGAAAGAAAUAUUUGGGCUAGUCAUGUAUGUUAAACUGAGAAUAGUCUCGUCAUAGGCAGGAACAUGAAACUGAGAAUAGCCUGCUAUGGGAAAGAAGAUGGCACUGAGAAUAGCCUGCCAUGGGCAGGAAUAUAGCACUGAGAAUGGCCUGCUAUGGACAAAAACAUGACAUCGAGAAAAGUUUGCCAUGGGUAAAUAUAUGAUGCCAAGAAUAGCCUACCAU